rnacentral:rRNA from 1 species
AUUGAACGCUGGCGGCAGGCCUAACACAUGCAAGUCGAACGAGUGGCGGACGGGUGAGUAAUGUCUGGGAAACUGACUGAUGGAGGGGGAUAACUACUGGAAACGGUAGCUAAUACCGCAUACCAUCGGAUGUGCCCUGAUGGGAUUAGCUAGUAGGUGGGGUAACGGCUCACCUAGGCGACGAUCCCUAGCUGGUCUGAGAGGAUGACCAGCAACACUGGAACUGAGACACGGUCCAGACGCCGACGGGAGGCAGCAGUGGGGAAUAUUGCAAAAUGGGCGAAAGCCUGAUGCAGCCAUGCCGCGUGUAUGAAGAAGGCCUUCGGGUUGUAAAGUACUUUCAGCGGGGAGGCGUUACCCGCAGAAGAAGCACCGGCUAACUCCGUGCCAGCCGCCGCGGUAAUAC